CAGUAGCCACGGUAAUACGAAGGGGGCUAGCGUUGUUCGGAUUUACUGGGCGUAAAGGGCUCGCAGGCGGUUUCUUAAGUCUGAUGUGAAAGCCCCCGGCUCAACCGGGGAGGGUCAUUGGAAACUGGGAAACCUGAGUGCAGAAGAGGAGAGUGGAAUUCCACGUGUAGCGGUGAAAUGCGUAGAGAUGUGGAGGAACACCAGUGGCGAAGGCGACUCUCUGGUCUGUAACUGACGCUGAGGAGCGAAAGCGUGGGGAGCGAACAGGAUUAGAUACCCCGGUAGUCCCUGUCUCUUAUAC
rnacentral:rRNA from 1 species